GACGAACGCUGGCGGCGUGCUUAACACAUGCAAGUCGAACGGAAAGGCCCUGCUCUUGUGGGGUUCUCGAUUGGCGAACGGGUGAGUAACACGCGAGUAACCUCCCCUUGACUUUGUGAUAACUUCACGGAACUCCGGCUAAUACCCGAGAGAAUCUCCUGCUCCACGGGGGUGGUUGGUAAAUUCCGGCGGUUGUGGAUGUUCUCGCUGCUUAUCAGCUUGUUGGUGGGGUAGGGGCUGACGAAGGCUGUGACGGCUAGCCGGCCUGAGAGGGUAACCGGCGACAGUGGGACUAAGAUAGGCAGCAGAAUCCAACGGGACGCAGCAGUGGGGAAUAUUGCAGAGUGGGCGGAAGUCUGAUGCAGCAACGCCGCGUGCGUGAUGAUGGGCUUCGGGUUAUAAACCUAUUUCGCCUGUGACAAGGCGUGAUUGACGGUAAUGGGUAAAAAAGCAACGGCUAACUACGUG
rnacentral:rRNA from 1 species